AACGAACGCUGGCGGCAGGCUUAACACAUGCAAGUCGAACGCGAAAUCACCUUCGGGUGGUGGAGAGUGGCAGACGGGUGAGUAACGCGUGGGAACCUACCUAGUGGUACGGAAGAACUCAGGGAAACUUGGGCUAAUACCGUAUGUGCCCGAAAGGGGAAAGAUUCAUCGCCACUAGAUGGGCCCGCGUCGGAUUAGCUUGUUGGUGAGGUAACGGCUCACCAAGGCGACGAUCCGUAGCUGGUCUGAGAGGAUGAUCAGCCACACUGGGACUGAGACACGGCCCAGACUCCUACGGGAGGCAGCAGUGGGGAAUAUUGGACAAUGGGCGCAAGACUGAUCCAGCCAUGCCGCGUGAGUGAUGAAGGCCCUAGGGUUGUAAAGCUCUUUCGGCGGGGACGAUAAUGACGGUACCCGCAGAAGAAGCCCCGGCUAACUUCGUGCCAGCCGCCGCGGUAA
rnacentral:rRNA from 1 species